AACGCACGAGACCUGCGGACCUGCGGAGGGAUCAUUAAUGAGAAACUGCCCCUCGCGGGUAGAUCUCCCACCCUUUGUAAACUUACCUUUGUUGCUUUGGCAGGCCCGUCUCCGGACCGCCGGCUUCGGCUGGCCAGUGCCUGCCAGAGGAUUCUAAAACUCUGUCUGUCAGUGUUGUCUGAGUCUAUUUACAAUCGUUAAAACUUUUAACAAUGGAUCUCUAGAUCGGAAGAGCACACG
rnacentral:misc_RNA from 1 species